GUGAGAGUGGACGAGUGAAGUUGUCAGAAUCGAGUUAGUCGCACGAUGGCGCAGCUUCUUGCUGGAUCUUAUACACCGGUACUUUUUCUAUUAUCCAUUAUUGCGGUUAUUCGAUUAACGAGAGGUAAUACAUUGUUAGAUACAGUGAAUCCUUCGAAUAAACCUAACGUGACAGCAAUAAACGUGUUAAAUGUACGAGAUGUAUUUAAUCAGGAAACACCUUCCUUUAUUUCGGAAUAUUUGAUAGAGUUAUUCGGGACCGGUCUCGAAAGUAAUUUGUCAUUACGUUGGUCAAAUGAUGAUAGUGACUGUGAACGGAAUGUUAAUGUACUCAAGAACGUUUGGAUUUCGAUGUCGGGCGAUCGUGCCAUAUACACGUUUACGGAACUUCCGGACACCAAAGCAAAUAUGAUCUAUUUUUGUUUGAAAUACACCGAACGAUGGACCAAUCUUGGAAGUCAUUUUGCGAUUAAUUUACCUUCGCAAUUGCAAAAAUCUUUUCGUACACGCCGUGCCGACUCGCAUAUAUCUAACAUUGGUGAAAAUGAUUAUGUACCAUCAACACAAGAUCAUUCUAAGAUUUUCAUCGAAGGGCUGAGAAUAGAGAUAGCCGACAAGGACCCUAGCUACACCGAAGAAGGUAUUCCAGAGAUUUUGGCUGGUGGAAAAGCAGUAAUACGAUUAUUUGGAACUGGAAUUAAAGAAGGUACUUUAAUCACAUUUACGGAUAUGCCACAAGAGAGGGAUUCUAUUUGUGACAAAAUAAAGAGCAAUGAGUUUCAAGUGAAAAAUGUACAGAAAAAUACAGCAACCAUUGAUGUAGUUCUACCACUUGGAUCUCCAUUUUUUAUUUGCACUAAACCACCUGUAUAUGAAGAUGCUCCAAAUGAUUAUGUGCCUUUUCGACAUCAAGGCAUAGCAUCAUGGAUUACAAUUCGUACAUAUGAGAAAAUGUUACCUCUUUGGCUUACUAUUAUGAUCAUUCUCCUGUGUCUCAGCUUUUCUGCUUUAUUCUCUGGCCUUAACUUGGGUUUGAUGGCAAUGGAUAGAACUGAACUAAAAAUACUUUGCAACACUGGUACAGAAAAAGAAAAACAAUAUGCAAGGACAAUACAACCAGUGAGAAAUCAUGGAAACUACUUGCUCUGUUCAAUUUUAUUUUCAAAUGUCCUCGUUAAUUCAUUGUUUACUAUUCUGUUAGAUGAUUUAACGUCUGGACUAGUAGCAGUAAUUUGUUCGACGCUUGCUAUUGUUAUCUUUGGUGAAAUUUCGCCCCAAGCUAUUUGUAGCAGGCAUGGCCUAUGCGUUGGCGCUAAAACAAUUUAUAUUACAAAAUUGACUAUGUUAAUAACAUUUCCAUUAAGUUAUCCGAUUAGUAAAAUUUUGGAUGUUUUUCUGGGCGAAGAAAUUGGCAAUGUUUAUAACCGGGAAAGAUUGAAAGAACUUGUUAAGGUUACAACGGGAUAUAACGAUCUAGAAAAAGAUGAAGUUAACAUCAUAGCUGGAGCAUUAGAAUUACGGAAAAAGACUGUCGCAGAUGUCAUGACAAGAAUCGAAGAUGUCUACAUGCUAAAUUAUAAUGCAGUUUUAGAUUUUGAAACUGUAUCUGAAAUAAUGAAAUCAGGUUAUUCACGAAUACCAGUAUAUGAGGGAACUAGAACUAAUAUUGUUACGAUGUUGUAUAUUAAAGAUCUUGCAUUCGUUGAUCCCGAUGAUAACAUGCCACUUAAAACGCUCUGUCAGUUCUAUCAAAAUCCAUGCAACUUCGUUUUUGAAGAUGUUACAUUAGAUAUAAUGUUUAAACAAUUUAAAGAAGGACAUAAAGGUCACAUGGCAUUUGUUCAAACAGUUAAUAAUAAGGGUGAAGGAGAUCCUUUCUAUGAAGUGAUAGGUUUGGUUACAUUAGAAGAUGUUAUAGAGGAAUUAAUUCAAGCAGAAAUUAUAGAUGAGACAGAUGUAUUUACUGACAAUAGAAGUAAACGUAAAAGACAAGCUCGGCCAAAAAUGCAGGACUUUACCGUGUUCGCAGAGAAGAAAGAAAAUCAGCGUAUUCAUAUAUCACCUCAAUUAACUCUGGCUAUGUUCCAAUAUUUAUCCACAACUGUAGAUGCUUUUAAGCCUGAUACAAUAUCUGAAGUUAUUCUACGUCGUUUACUUAAACAAGAUAUCAUUUAUCACAUCAAAGUAAAGACCCGUGAAAAAGCACGAAAUGAUCCUACUACGAUUAUUUAUCAGCAAGGAAAAGCGGUUGACUAUUUUGUAUUGAUAUUAGAAGGUCGAGUAGAAGUUACAGUCGGCAAGGAAAAUUUGAUGUUCGAAAGUGGCCCGUUUACGUACUUCGGAUCUCAAGCGCUUACUACGAAUAUAGGAAUAGCUGAAUCUCCCACUACUGGAAAUCCUCAAAAUCUUGGAAGUAUUCAAUCGAUUAAUUUAGAUUCUAUGUUACGUUACACCUUUGUACCAGAUUAUACUGUUCGAGCGGUAACAGAAGUAUUUUAUGUCAAAGUUAGAAGAUCUUUAUAUCUUGCUGCUAAGCGUGCUACUCUUUUAGAAAGAAGCCAAAAAGAUCCUUUACCUACUCAUGAGCAAUUUGAUGAUGAAGUAGAGAAAUUGUUACAUUCCUUGGAUGAGGAUGAUCGUAGCGUACCAGAAUCACCAGUUUUACCAAAGGACAAAGAAAACGAAACGAGCAAGGAAAAAGAUGUUAAAAAUCAAUCACCAAUUCGUAGUUCAACGGCUCCGACAUCUCCUCUUCCGGUUAGCGCAAGUCCAGUCACAAAUUCUAAAUUCGUUUCAUCACACAGUGAUCAUAAUGGAAAAUUAAAAAAUUCACCUAUGAAAGCACAAAAUGCAGUCGCAACAGCAGGAGUAGGUAAACUGAGUUUAGAUUCUGACGUGCAUAUAAGUCAGUCAGAAGCAAUCCGACUUUUGUCCGGGAAGAAAUCAUUGGACGACGAGGAAAGAACAACUUUACUAGUUAAACAAGAUCGUUCUUAACGCUUACAGAAUGGCCGACUAUAUGCGAUAAUGUCGGCAGUUGGAAUAGUACUAAAUAUACCAAGUAACGAAGGGCAGAACAUACGCCUAUGACAUAUAAAAAUGUUUUGGCAUUAGAAGCUGUACCCAAUUCUUCGAAAACAACAGCAACAGAAAAGAAAUGAAAAGAAAUAAGAAAUAUCUAUUUUGCUCAGGGGAAGUUGCCAAAAACGUUCAUAUAUACACAUAUAUAUGUGUAUAAUAUAUAUAUAUAUAUAUAUAUAUAUAUAUACUUAUUCAUUGAACAUUAUUUAUCGAAUAGCUCGUGUCAUGAACUAUCAUACGUGCAUCACAUAUAAUAACCAGUUUAAUAGCAUUUAUCGCAUAGUGGACAAAUAUUUCGAAUUAGUCUCACACGUUUCAUCGUGUAUUCUUUUUCAUCAAGCAAUUAAGUACUUAUAAAAAAGUGUUUAGUAAAGGCUGAAUAUGUAUAUAAAUAGAAGUGACAACUCAUUGACCCAUUCAGCAAAUAAGUGCUCGUAGGUUACUUUAUAUUUUAAUUAGAAAGAAUAGUAAAGAAAGUUCUCUAAAUAUAAAUAGCGCGAUUGAAUUCUGUGUUACGAAUACCUCAUUUAUAUACUUUAUAUUAGCAUUUAGAUACAAUAUUGAAUACUUUUGAGCGAAGAACAUAGUCGUUUAUAUUUUUUGUAUUUUCUUUUUUUUUUCUUUUUUUCAUAGAAUCUAAUUAAGUUUAUCUACGAGCUCUAGGGGUUCAAUUUAAGAUUGUUUUUAUUUUAUAAAAGAUUUUUUAAUCUAUUUAUUUAUAUUAUUUAUCUAGUAAAC
rnacentral:misc_RNA from 1 species